UAAAUCAGCGUUAUUGCUUGGGAUGUCU
rnacentral:sRNA from 1 species